UUAAGUUCAGCGGGUAGUCCUACCUGAUUUGAGGUCAAAUAUGUCAAGGUUGUCUUCGUUGAGAAGACGGUUCGAAAGCAAGCCCAUUAGACAAGCGCCGCCAAUGAUGAAACUUAUCACACCAGCAACGCGAGUCAGAUGCUCACUCAUGCAUUCAAGGAGAGCCGACCCCAGCAGAAGGGGCCAGCAGACUCCCAAAU
rnacentral:misc_RNA from 1 species